ACACCAUCCCUUGGAAAAUAAUUGUUAACAUCCAAAAGUGAGCCGUUUAAAUGAAGACGUUAAGCGAGUAGAUGUACAGAGAUGCAUGUUUUGCUGGUGUGAAUGUAUGUACUUUCGUGACCGCAAUGCCCGAGGAGUCAGAAGAGGCACGCAUUUGAAGCCACAUCUCCAGAAGCAGCAUAUCUCCUGAUCUCCACAGUCAUUGUCACUGUAACACUGGGGAUCAUCUUGCCUGAUGCAGCGGACAUUGUCUGCCGGGCAAACUCCUUUCUCUUUAUUUGGUGGAAAAAGGCAUAAGUACCCCCCUUGAGCUUGCUGGAACUUUCUGCAAGGCUUUCAAGUGUUCUGAGAGCCUGAAAUGACUAUGAGGAAGAAAAAGAUGAUCAGAAGGUGUUGAAGAGAGCCUGGGAGACAUUGAGGAGUUGAGACUGAAGGUUUCCAGGCCGUGUUAGGAACAUGGGUUGCAAUGGGCUGAGCCUACUGCAGCUAUCCAGGUCAGCUUUUCCUUCAGCGGAGAGACUGACUAGUUUCAAAAUGACAGAACCAACCCCUCCCUCUAGUCUCUAUAAAAAAAAUCCAAGAGUGUGACAUUAUUUACUGUAAUUACUUCAACUCAGGCAUGUGAAGGAAUUGUGCAUAUAUUUGGGAUAAGGUUGAAUUUUAUGUCAUUUUAGUCAAAGAGAGGAUAAUUCUUGAAAAUUAUAUCUACUGCCAACUCCUAGGGAUGGCAUCACCAGCUCAGGUAUAGGCUUGCUGUGUGCCAAGUGUACUGGUAAGAAGGAGUUUGUUCCAGGAAGGCUGCCCAGUUUGCUGAAGCAAGCAGAGAGCCUUGCACAAGAUGAUAUAACUCAUCCCCGCUUAACAGUAAUUAUUUAUUGGCUCACAGUGUCAUUGUGUUAGUGACUACAGCAGCCAUAAUUCAACAACAAAAAUAGUCCUGUUCUGUUGUACUUCAUGUGGCUGUCCAAUAAAAAAUGCACGUUUAUUGCUAUGGAGUUUUAAAUGCCCACGUCUUAUCAGAGAGGAGAAAGAACUGAGCUUUGGAGCUUUUGAGCUUUUCCCCAGAGAAGAGUAAAGUUGACACAUGUCAGAGGACUCACGGCUGCUGGAAUUUCUUUCUUUUAUUUUUUUAAAGUAUUAUUUUAUUCGUGUAAGUGUUUUGCCAGCAUCUAUGUCUUCGCACUAUGUGCAGGUCUGGUGCCUGAGGGGUCCAGACGAGAGCACUGGAUCUCCUGGAACUGGAGUUACAGAUCAUUGUGAGCCACCAUGUGGGUGCAGGGAAUCGAACCUGGGACCUCUGGAGGAGCAGCCACUGCUCUUAACCACUACACUAUUUCUCCAGGUCCUCUUUUAUCUUUCUUUGUUAGUCAAUGUUACCAUCAAACGAAGAAGUUCAGCUUCACUAAGAACACACUGAGAAGUGCAGUGUAUCCAUUUGAUGUAAAUGACACUACUAAAUCUGUACCUAACAUUUUAUACCUUGUGACUGUUAGAUUGCAAAGCAGGUCCCUAAGAUGGCGGUGCAGCUGCCAAUACCAUAAGAUGGCUCCCUGAGUGGACCUGGGGCAGAUAGCCAUGAGUAAAUGGAAACCUAAUGAUCAGCAUUUCUCAGAAACCCUGUGACUCAGGGACCUUGCUUAUCAGAUAACUGCAGUUUCCAAGGUGUCCCCUAAAUGGCCAUCUACCACAGGCAAGAGGACAUCUGAUACUCAUAAACUGGCCUCACAGCAUCAGGCACAAACCCUUUCCAGGAGGCUUGCCCUGGCCUGGGGAUUCUGUUCUACCCAAGACAAAAACAAAACCUCCUGAGAGGAAAGAAGGGGUCCGCUCUUAAGCAUCCAGGAACUUUGCAAAGCUCUUUUACUCUUCUGGCUGGGCUGCUGUUCACUUCCCUUGUGAGACAGCUCAGCAGCUUGUUCUCCAAUAAACUUUUUCCACGC
ensembl:antisense